rnacentral:rRNA from 1 species
AGUGAACGCUGGCGGUAGGCCUAACACAUGCAAGUCGAACGGUAGCACAGUAAGAGCUUGCUCUUACGGGUGGCGAGUGGCGGACGGGUGAGGAAUACAUCGGAAUCUACUUUUUCGUGGGGGAUAACGUAGGGAAACUUACGCUAAUACCGCAUACGACCUACGGGUGAAAGCAGGGGAUCUUCGGACCUUGCGCGAUUGAAUGAGCCGAUGUCGGAUUAGCUAGUUGGCGGGGUAAAGGCCCACCAAGGCGACGAUCCGUAGCUGGUCUGAGAGGAUGAUCAGCCACACUGGAACUGAGACACGGUCCAGACUCCUACGGGAGGCAGCAGUGGGGAAUAUUGGACAAAGGGCGCAAGCCUGAUCCAGCCAUACCGCGUGGGUGAAGAAGGCCUUCGGGUUGUAAAGCCCUUUUGUUGGGAAAGAAAAGCAGCAGGUUAAUACCCCGCUGUUCUGACGGUACCCAAAGAAUAAGCACCGGCUAACUUCGUG